rnacentral:rRNA from 1 species
UACGUAGGGUGCAAGCGUUAAUCGGAAUUACUGGGCGUAAAGCGUGCGCAGGCGGUUCUAUAAGACAGAUGUGAAAUCCCCGGGCUCAACCUGGGAACUGCAUUUGUGACUGUAGAGCUGGAGUACGGCAGAGGGGGAUGGAAUUCCGCGUGUAGCAGUGAAGUGCGUAGAUAUGCGGAGGAACACCGAUGGCGAAGGCAAUCCCCUGGGCCUGUACUGACGCUCAUGCACGAAAGCGUGGGGAGCAAACAGG